CUCCUUUAUUGUACAUAGAUUACUUUUCAUGUAUCUUUUCUGAUUAUUACUAGUGUGUAGGAAAUCUAUUAAUUUUAUCGUAUAUAUUUUUUCCCUCUACUUACCUUUUGAGCAGUCUUACCAGUUCCUAUCAUUCCUUUUUUCUUCUCUAGGAUUUUCCAAAUCAUUAUAUACGUAACAUGUUUUUUAAGUGUUGCAAUAUUAAAAUCAUCUUACGACUUCAAGGUGUCACUGGGAAUACUUCCUGGACCUCACAACACAGACUAAUUCAAACAGACCCCUGCUCUAAACCCUAGCCUCAGUUCUUGAAAUACUGUUGGAGGAAGUCAUCAAGAGUACGUGACUGCCAGUUGACCUGAGAGCUGGACCCAGGCAAUUGGAGGCUCCUUAACUUUCCCCUGCCUUGGGAAUGGACGUUCCACCCACUAUUCCCACUCUUGGAGGCAUUUCAGGGAUGCAGCUUGAGAUAAUAAUGUGUUGUUGAGACCAUCCGGACAGUAUACGCAACUGAACCCAGAAUAGAGAACAAGAUUGGAGAGGCUCUUGUUUCAAUCAUCAAAAGGCCCAAGUUACUUAAUAAUAAAAAUUGUUUUUUCAGUCUAACCUGUGAAAAAUCGCAAAGAUAUAAACUGAAGAAGUUAAUAAUCUUCUUGCACAUCCUUUCUCUUCCACAGUGCAGAUAUUGAAAAGGUACAUACUUGUGAUCCUGGAUAGCAAAACCCAAUGUUAUAUUGAUGUUAUCUUCUCUCAAAUACAUCUACAUUGUUUUGGCAAUUUCAAUUUAACACUCUAUUAUGCCUCUGGAAAUUCGUCAAAGUGAUAUUAAAGUUCAUCUGUAAGACUAAAUGGGUGACGAUGUUUAAAAAUACAAAAUACAAGAAGAGCAAUGAGGUAUAUUUAAAGUAUCAAAUAAAUUGUAUUCUAAAGCUAUAAUGAAUACAGGAAUGCAGCACUGGCACAGAAAUCGACAGAUAGCUGAACUGAUCUUAUUGUUCAGAGUUAAGCAAAUUCACUAAUGUUUUUCCAUAGUCCCUAAAAUAUUGUUGAUAACUUUGCUUCUAGCUAUCUUACAAAUUUUCUUUCUAUUGCAAAUGAACAUAUUUUUCCAUCAUACUAUUUAAUUUCUUAUUGCUGUUAUAUAGGAAAGCUGUUGAUUUCAGUAUAUUUAAUUUUGCUUAUGCACCUAACUGAACUAUCUUAGUAGUGCUCAUCAUUUUCAGUUCAUGCUAGGAUGAUGGUCAUGUUAUCUAUGUCACAGAUCCAGUGUAACAUUAAAACCAAGCCACAGCCUCAUUGUCAUAGUCAGUAAGUGGUAUCUAUUGUCCAAUCACACUCUGUCCUAACUACCCACUAUAGUCUUUUUGACAUGGUUUACUAACCCUAGUAUUUACCAUCAUAUCCCAGAAGACGUGGUUAACGUCUAUAAUCAGUUGACUGUAGGGAAAGUAAAUUACCCUCCAUAAUGUGGAUGGACGUCAUCCAAGCUGUUGAAGGCCUUAAGAACAAGAACUGAAGCUUCUUGGAGGAGAAAUUUUGCCUCAAGACUGCAACCUCAGCUACUAGCCAAGUCUGCUGACCUGCUUUAGACUUCAAAUAUGCCUGCCUCACAAUCUGGAAAGCAUGUAGUGCUGAAGUCCCUGCAGCCUUUUCUGAAGAACCUGUGUAUCCCCACAGUGGAGCCAGCAUUGGGUCACCAGCCACACAGGACAUUUACAACUGACAGAAAACGAAAACUCCGACCAGCUAAAUAAGUAGGCUUUUCCCCCUUUCCUUUCAACCACUUUCCUCACUCUGAUCCUGGGGAAAAAUGGAAAAGAAUAAAGAAAAAGCAAAAUACACAGGCCACUUCCUCCUCUCAACUGCAGGAACCCAAGGCAGAUGUCAGGCCUGAACUUGGAGAGAAGGAUGAGCACAGGAUAGGGGAGAAGCUUUGUAUUGGAUGUGAGAUUGCAAUUUUAAUUUGGACUGGGCUGGACUUUCGAAUCCCUGAAAGUGAGCCAUGGGAAUUUUUUUUAUAACCCUCUGUGACCAAAACUGUGGAAUCGGUGCUUCCAGUGGUGGAGCAGGGAGGUCCUUCAGAGCAGAGAAGAGAACAGUAUUUGGAGAAAGAUAGAGUCAUUUCCUUUUUGUGUCUUAUCACAGUCCAGUUAAUAAACUGAUUGCAUUUGUGGAA